rnacentral:rRNA from 1 species
UACGUAGGGCGCAAGCGUUGUCCGGAAUUAUUGGGCGUAAAGAGCUCGUAGGCGGUUUGUCGCGUCUGCUGUGAAAACCUAAGGCUCAACCUUGGGCUUGCAGUGGGUACGGGCAGACUAGAGUGCGGUAGGGGUGACUGGAAUUCCUGGUGUAGCGGUGAAAUGCGCAGAUAUCAGGAGGAACACCGGUGGCGAAGGCGGGUCUCUGGGCAGUAACUGACGCUGGAGGAGCGAAAAGCGUGGGGAGCGAACAGG